GAUUGAACGCUGGCGGUAUGCUUAACACAUGCAAGUCGAACGGAAACGAUACUAGCUUGCUAGUAGGCGUCGAGUGGCGGACGGGUGAGUAACGCGUAGGAAUCUGCCUGAUAGUGGGGGAUAGCCCGAAGAAAUUCGGAUUAAUACCGCAUAAUCUAUUCGUAGUAAAGUGGGGGACUUUCGAGCCUCACGCUAUCAGAUGAGCCUGCGUAAGAUUAGCUAGUUGGUAGGGUAAAAGCCUACCAAGGCGACGAUCUUUAGCUGGUCUGAGAGGAUGAUCAGCCACAUCGGGACUGAGACACGGCCCGAACUCCUACGGGAGGCAGCAGUGGGGAAUAUUGGACAAUGGGGGCAACCCUGAUCCAGCAAUACCGCGUGUGUGAAGAAGGCCUGAGGGUUGUAAAGCACUUUCAAUUGUGAAGAAAAGCUAGUGGUUAAUAGCCAUUAGCCUUGACGUUAACUUUAGAAAGAAGCACCGGCUAACUCCGUGCCAGCAGCCGCGGUAAUACGGAAGGGUGCAAGCGUUAAUCGGAAUUACUGGCGUAAAGCGUGCGUAGGCGGUUUUUAAGUCAGAUGGGAAAGCCCGGGCUUAACCUGGGAACUGCAUUUGAAACUGGUCACUAGAGUAUGGUAGAGGAAAGUGGAAUUUCUGGUGUAGCGGUGAAAUGCGUAGAUAUCAGAAGGAACAUCAAUGGCGAAGGCACUUCUGACCAAUACUGACGCUGAGGUACGAAAGCGUGGGUAGCAAACAGGAUUAGAUACCUGGUAGUCCACGCGUAAACGAUGAUAACUAGCCGUUGGGGGGAUUUACCCCUUUAGUGGCGAAGCUAACGCGUUAAGUUAUCCGCCUGGGGAGUACGGCCGCAAGGUUAAAACUCAAAGGAAUUGACGGGGACCCGCACAAGCGGUGGAGCAUGUGGUUUAAUUCGAUGCAACGCGAAGAACCUUACCUGGUCUUGACAUCCUGCGAACUUUCUAGAAAUAGAUUGGUGCCUUCGGGAACGCAGUGACAGGUGCUGCAUGGCUGUCGUCAGCUCGUGUCGUGAGAUGUUGGGUUAAGUCCCGUAACGAGCGCAACCCCUAUCCUUAUUUGCCAGCACAUCAUGGUGGGAACUAUAAGGAGACUGCCGGUGAUAAACCGGAGGAAGGCGGGGACGACGUCAAGUCAUCAUGGCCCUUACGACCAGGGCUACACACGUGCUACAAUGGGAAGGACAAAGAGCCGCGAAGCCGCGAGGUGUAGCUAAUCUCAGAAACCUUUUCGUAGUCCGGAUUGGAGUCUGCAACUCGACUCCAUGAAGUCGGAAUCGCUAGUAAUCGUAGAUCAGAAUGCUACGGUGAAUACGUUCCCGGGUCUUGUACACACCGCCCGUC
rnacentral:rRNA from 1 species